rnacentral:rRNA from 1 species
UACAUAGGUCUCAAGCGUUGUUCGGAUUCAUUGGGCGUAAAGGGUGCGUAGGCGGCGCUGUAAGUCGGUUGUGAAAUUUCGGAGCUUAACUCCGAAACUGCAUUCGAUACUGCGGUGCUUGAGGACUGGAGAGGAGACUGGAAUUCAUGGUGUAGCAGUGAAAUGCGUAGAGAUCAUGAGGAAGACCAGUGGCGAAGGCGGGUCUCUGGACAGUUCCUGACGCUGAGGCACGAAGGCCAGGGGAGCAAACGGG